rnacentral:rRNA from 1 species
UGGGGAAUAUUGGACAAUGGGCGAAAGCCUGAUCCAGCCAUGCCGCGUGUGUGAAGAAGGUCUUCGGAUUGUAAAGCACUUUAAGUUGGGAGGAAGGGCAUUAACCUAAUACGUUAGUGUUUUGACGUUACCGACAGAAUAAGCACCGGCUAACUCUGUGCCAGCAGCCGCGGUAAUACAGAGGGUGCAAGCGUUAAUCGGAAUUACUGGGCGUAAAGCGCGCGUAGGUGGUUUGUUAAGUUGGAUGUGAAAGUCCCGGGCUCAACCUGGGAACUGCAUUCAAAACUGACUGACUAGAGUAUGGUAGAGGGUGGUGGAAUUUCCUGUGUAGCGGUGAAAUGCGUAGAUAUAGGAAGGAACACCAGUGGCGAAGGCGACCACCUGGACUAAUACUGACACUGAGGUGCGAAAGCGUGGGGAGCAAACA